rnacentral:misc_RNA from 1 species
UAGCUGCGUUAACUGGUGUGAAUUGCAGGACACGCCGAGCACUAAGUUUUCGAACGCAUAUUGCGGCUACGGGCCUUCCCGUAGCCUCGUCUGUCUGAGGGUCGGUUAAUAACGACUCAUCGUAAGAGUCCGCUCGAGACAUGGCCGUUCAGUUGCUAGUUUCGUCGGACUUGGUCGACGCGGUGUCUGGCUGAGAACUGCAGCGGCAUCGGUCCGGCGCUACGUGUCGGACUGCAAUACCGUCUAUGUCGGUUCGUAGGCCUUACAUUGCGUGAAACAUUUUGUUGUCUGUCUGUCAACAGAUAGGCUUACAUCUUGUCGACCUCAGAUCAGGCGAGAUUACCCGCUGAAUUUAA